AUUGAACGCUGGCGGCAGGCCUAACACAUGCAAGUCGAACGAGCGGCGGACGGGUGCGUAAUGUCUGGGGAACUGCCUGAUGGAGGGGGAUAACUACUGGAAACGGUAGCUAAUACCGCAUACCAUCGGAUGUGCCCAGAGGGGAUUAGCUAGUAGGUGGGGUAAAGGCUCACCUAGGCGACGAUCUCUAGCUGGUCUGAGAGGAUGAACAGCCACACUGGAACUGAGACACGGUCCAUACUCCUACGGUAGGCAGCAGUGGGGAAGAUUUCACAAUGGGCGCAAGCCUGAUGCAGCCAGGCCGCGUGUAUGAAGAAGGCCUUCGGGUUGUAAAGUACGUUCAGCGGGGAGGCGUUACCCGCAGAAGAAGCACCGGCUAACUCCGUGCCAGCAGCCGCGGUAAUAC
rnacentral:rRNA from 1 species